rnacentral:rRNA from 1 species
AAGGAUGAGGUUAUAAGCGAAUGGUGGAUGCCUUGGGAUAUUGAUGCGAUGAAGGACGUGGCGUGCCUGCGAUAAGCAUCGGGGAGGUGGCUAGCAACCUUUGAUCCGGUGAUUUCCUAAUGAGGAAACUCAAUGCAAGUAAUGUUGCAUUAUCCAGCACUAAUUUUAAUUCAUAAUUGAAUUACAAAAAAUAAAUUCUGAUUAUUUUAAAAGUCGGAAAAAGUAAUAAAGAUUUUGUGUUGAAAUUAGUGCUGGAAGCGUACCCGGCGAAGUGAAACAUCUCAGUAGCCGGAGGAAAAAAGAACGAAGUGAUUCCCUUAGUAGUGGCGAGCGAACAGGGAGAAGCCUAAACCAAUUUUUUUAAGUUGGGGUUGCAAGGUUAUAGCGUCGGGAGCACUUCCGUGAACAGUUUUACUGUUUUCGGAAAUGUUUGCCGAGGGAGAGUAUUUAGAUAAAGUUGUUAAAAGAAGCACUCUGGAAAGAGGCGCCAUAGAGGGUAAUAGCCCCGUAUUCUAAAACAACUUUAUGCUCCUUGCUAUUUUUCUUAAGUACUGUCGGGAAUGAUAACCUGGCAGGAAUCAGGCCGAACUAUCGGCCAAGGCUAAAUAAUCAAUAUCACCGAUAGUGAACCAGUACCGUGAGGGAAAGGUGAAAAGUAGGGGGUUGACCCCGGUGAAAUAGUACCUGAAACCAUUUGCUUACAAAGAGUCGGAGUCCCGACGCAAGUCGUGGAUGACGGCGUGCUUUUUGCAGAACGAGCCAACGAGUUUGAAUAGCCAGUAGUCUAAGCCCCUCUGG